CAGCAGCCGCGGGAAUACCGAGGGUGCGAGCGUUAAUCGGAUUUACUGGGCGUAAAGCGUGCGUAGGCGGCUUCUUAAGUCGGAUGUUAAAUCCCUGAGCUUAACUUAGGAAUUGCAUUCGAUACUGGGAAGCUAGAGUAUGGGAGAGGAUGGUAGAAUUCCAGGUGUAGCGGUGAAAUGCGUAGAGAUCUGGAGGAAUACCGAUGGCUAAGGCAGCCAUCUGGCCUAAUACUGACGCUGAGGUACGAAAGCAUGGGGAGCAAACAGGAUUAGAUACCCCAGUAGUCCCUGUCUCUUAUAC
rnacentral:rRNA from 1 species